rnacentral:rRNA from 1 species
AGUGAACGCUGGCGGCGUGCCUAACACAUGCAAGUCGAACGAGAACGGAUUUAAGCUUGCUUAAAUUGUCAGCUAAGUGGCGCACGGGUGAGUAAUGUAUAGUUAACCUGCCUUUAAGAAAGGGAUAACAAUUAGAAAUGAUUGCUAAUACCUUAUAUGCCUUUUAAUCAUAAGAUUGUAAAGGGAAAUGCUUUUGUGCUUAAAGAUGGGACUGUAUAGUAUCAGAUAGUUGGUGGGGUAAUGGCCUACCAAGUCAAUGACGCUUAACUGGUUUGAGAGGAUGAUCAGUCACACUGGAACUGAGACACGGUCCAGACUCCUACGGGAGGCAGCAGUGGGGAAUAUUGCACAAUGGAGGGAACUCUGAUGCAGCAACGCCGCGUGGAGGAUGACACAUUUCGGUGCGUAAACUCCUUUUAUAUAGGAAGAUAAUGACGGUACUAUAUGAAUAAGCACCGGCUAACUCCGUGCCAGCAGCCGCGGUAAUACGGAGGGUGCAAGCGUUACUCGGAAUCACUGGGCGUAAAGAGCAUGUAGGCGGAUUAAUAAGUUUGAAGUGAAAUCCUAUAGCUUAACUAUAGAACUGCUUUGAAAACUGUUAAUCUAGAAUAUGGGAGAGGUAGAUGGAAUUUCUGGUGUAGGGGUAAAAUCCGUAGAGAUCAGAAGGAAUACCGAUUGCGAAGGCGAUCUACUGGAACAUUAUUGACGCUCAAUGCGAAAGCGUGGGGAGCAAACAGG